CCCAUCGCACCAUCUCUUCGCAUCUCUUGGCCCUCAGAAAGAAUUCUCUUCGCAUCCUUCCCUGUAUCAUCGCAGCAGCCAGGGCGACACGGCGCCAUCAACCACCGGGCGAUGACCCGCAACCUACGGUAGAUCAGGUGCAGGAUCGCCACCACCUCCGGCUGACAAGGAUUGAGUUCCAUGGAUCCAGGCGCACCGGCCAGAUCCACCGUCGAGGGGACGACCUCCACCACCGCCCUGCUACCCUGCAUCCUUGACGCGCCCAACCCCGGCCACCUCGACGACUCCGCCUCCUCAAGGACGACCUGCACCACCGUCCUACUACCCCAGAAUCGAUGCUGCCGCCGCCUCUUGGCGACAUCCCCUACCCCAGUGGAGCGGCAUCGCUCCCAUCAUCUACAACAUCAGAUCCGUUCUCUUUGUCCUGAAGUUGGCUGGGGACUUUCCACAUGACAAGUUUCAUUGGAUGUAUCAAAGAUAGAAAUGAGUGGAUUUGGUGUCAUACCACUCAUGUUUUGGCACUGUACCGAUAAACUUUGAGUCUACAUUGCCAUCUCAAAAAUACAUGGGUAACAUAUUAAAGGUGCAUUCAUGUCUUUUUAUUUGACACCAUGUUGAUAAUAUCAUUUUUUUAAAAGAACUAUCCUUGAAGUGGUCAGAGCAGUACCGUGUGUGCCGUUCAGUCGCCAGGUCGAGCUGCUGAGCUAGAUCAUCAUCUUGGAUCACGUGCCUCCUGCCUGCUCGUGUUUUCAGCCAUCGCGCCACCUGCCGGAUUUUUGUGGCAACUCCUGUUAGGCAUCCUCUCCUGAAUCCUCAUAUAACUCAUAGGUACUCUUCGUUCAGUUUGUUUAUUAUGUGAGAUCUGAAGUCGCAAUUUCAGUUAGCUCGGAACUAGAAAUUCAGUUAUCAUGAACAAUAUAUUCAAUUAGAGCAAAAUGUUCUUCUCCUCUAUGAUUUUCUUGAAUGAUUUCCUAAUUAAGUUACCACUGAUUACCUCAACCUGUUACGUCUUGAGGAAGCAAGCCGGUCUGACACUAAUGUGCCACUUUACUUGACUGGUUGUCACUGAAGCUUAUAUAUUACUAUUUCAGAAAUUAGCUGAGCAUUAAUCGACAAUGACGAUGUUUUCCGUACAUAACAUAGGUCCUUUCUUUUCAUCUAUUUUUUCAUCACGGACUAGGUUUUUCUUAUGGGUUAAUCUGGAGUUCAUUUUUGUAUGCUACAUAUUUUAUUGCCUUUUUUUAUUCUUUUAGGCAACACACAGACACACGCACACUAUGAAUAUUAGAUGGAGUGGAGAGAGCAAAUGGAAGAAUCACUGAGCAAAGGAAUACUUAGAGCACUAUCAUGUUUUAUCAGCUAGAGCGGAGAUGACAAAUGGAAGAAUCAGAGUGAAGGAAAACUGAGAGCUCUAUGAUGUUGACUGAACUUCAGAUGGCCGCUUUAUUAAAAGAUUUUUUUUUCAUAUUUUGCAUCUAGGGCAGCGCUACAGAGGUAUAAGCUUAGUACUAAACUGGUAUUAUGCAUCUGCAUGAUUGUAUAUCUGUCUCUUAAUGUAUGAGAAAGCUCUUUGAUCUAAACAAAGGCUACAGAUGGUACUUUCAGCAUUUUGAAAUAUUCCGGAGGAUAUAUGAAGCCUAUCCUAGCCAAUCAAUUCUCCAUAGUAAUUCACACUUACUUUCAAGGCUAUUUUCAAAUUGCUUUUCAGAUGGGAAGUGCAAAGCCCACACUUUGCUCUUCAUAAUAAUCUCUCUGACAAUGUGUUCUUCUUUGUUGCGUGCAGAGCAUGGGACCGCGUCCAUGGCAUCAUAUGUCACAGGACAACAAACGGCACAAGAGAUCAUACGAGCAGACAUUCCCUAUGGCAUCUCAAGAGACUAGCGAUGUCCGAGUUACCUGCUACCCAUUGCGAUGAUCCCAUCCAGCAGGCAGGCGGGACUAGCAUCGACCGGGUGAGUGGCAACGGCGACCGGUCGGGCUGGGCGAUCAACUCAGUUGAGCUAGGAUACAACCAUAUAGCCACAGGGACAGUUUAGUCCUUUCACGAGCCUGCUUAUGUGAGAAGAAAAAAUGAAUAAAAGAGUUGCUAAUGGCAUAGUAAUCAAGGUGUUAACGAUCUAAGUGGCGAUUUUACGGAGUCAACAUGGAAAGGGGCAAUUUCUCAAAGUCCCAUGAAGGAGAUGUCAAAAAUCCAAAUACUACGACACUUAAAAUAUUAGCAACAAUCGAUGUACUCAUUUAUCAUGGAUGGUUAUCAAAUGCAGUUCAGAGAGGGUAAGGUGCUUGGAAGGCUGGAAGUAUGUAAAACAAUUAGCUUAUGUGUGAUCACUUACCAAAUUUUA